GCCUUUUUCCAUUUUUGCUCAGGUAAAAAGGACCUCUCUGACACACUGGUCAGCAAGUUAGAACAGAAAGGAGUGCAUUUUUUCCACUGUUAAUCAUCAGUGUAUGAGUUAUGAAGUCCAGUGUGUAUGUUAGAAAGUUAUAAAUAAUGAAAUUCUCAACAAACUUCAGAAGCGGAGACAGAGAACAUAGUAAUGACAGACAAGGUGAACCACAAAAUUCUGUAUUUAUGAAGCAAUUUCAUAGAGCAGCUCUGAAAGAAUAGCUCAAGAGGACAAGCAGGCAAAAAAUUGUUUAUUCUGAGUCUCGCUGCAUGGAGGAAACAUUCUUCAUAGCUGCUGGUACAGUAUUGUGCUUCAGAUUUGUGACUAAAAUCAUUCAUAACACAUCUACGUUUUGGCUGCCACUGAGCAGUCCUUGUGCAGUAUCAAGGCUUUAUCUCUUUCACUCUUGACCUCAGUGAGUAGACUGGCAAGAAAAUGGAAAGGACACAGCCAGGAAAGCCAACAAGAAGUGGCCAAAGGGAUGUUCCAUACCAUGUGACAUCACUCUCACAAUAAAGCUGGAGUAGA